AUCGAAUGCAAGACGACAACGCCACCUGGAUGAAUUUUCUUGAAACAUUCUCUAACCUAAAGUAAAGAAAAUAAUCGAUGGUCGAUAAUCGAUAGUCGAUAAUCGUUCCGAUCUUAUAAGUUUUAAAUGGAGAAAAGACGCGGGAUAUAAUUUGACCUAACAAAAUAAGAGCGCAUGCACUUACCACGUGCACGUGCAUGCAAGUAGUGACCACCUGCAGCAAAAGGAUCAUUAUCGCGAGAACUUAAAGAGCCGUAAAGUUUACGAAGAUAUCGCACAUGCUGUGUGCCUGUGCUUCUUGUGCCUCGCUGCUUUAUUUUCGUCGUCCCAAAAGCCAACGUGGAUUCGUGGAAGAACCGGUCGUUUCGAAAUCCACUGCAGAGUAUUGAGAGGACGAAAGAGAAAGGGGCAAGGGAAUAAAGAAAAUGGACGAAGGAAGGGUGGGGAACGAAGACGAAUUAAGAAAUCAACGAACGUAAAGAAAAGCCGGUGGUGUUUGGCCGACUUCCAAAAUUCGUGACAACUAACGCAAGAUUUGUUGCUGCGAAAUCUUCCUUUUUACCAUUUUAUCCUUUCGUAAACAAAACUUUACAAGCUUUACAAUAUACUCGUUUAAGUAUAUAUAAAUCGCGUAAAUAGGUAAAUGAAAAUUAAAUUAUUC